rnacentral:lncRNA from 1 species
GUAAACCAUCAGAGUUGAUCUUCUAUUAUUCUCAUUUUAUAUGCUUGGAAAUUAAUACUGAAAAUUUGGACUGGGUAUCCAAGGCAAGACACCUAACUAGAUGCCACCAGGAAGAACAUCUCCCACAAAAACAGACCAAAAUAUCCAGUAAAUCAGCAUACUCAGAACAGAUCAUCUGAAGGAAUGAACUAAAAGAGAUUAGAAAGACAACCCAGACACCAGGAUGAAAGGGAGAGGAAGCUGGGAAUCCUUCUUGGGGUUGCUGAAUAUGGGACAUGUUCCAGGCCCUGAAUGGCUCUGGAUUUGAUAACCAUCUCAUGUUGAUGGGCCUGACUUCAAGUGGAAGAAAAAAAAAAGAAAAGAAAACCUCCUUCUUUACUGUCAAAAUAACAAACGGAAUGAGAUUUUAGAAGAACAUUGACUGAUCUUUACUUCAUAAUUGAAAGAUGGGCCUAUUAAAGGGACACAGCAGGCCUGAUGGAAUUG